CCUCCUUGUGUCCUCCUUUUUGCCUCUUGGGCCAUGGCGGCACCUCUGCCCCAGCAACGCCGCGUGAAGGAUGAAGGUUUUCGGAUUGUAAACUUCUGUUGCGAGGGAUGAAGAAUGACGGUACCUCGUGAGGAAGCCCCGGCAAACUACGUGCCAGCAGCCGCGGUAAUACGUAGGGGGCAAGCGUUGUCCGGAAUGACUGGGCGUAAAGGGAGUGUAGGCGGCCUUUUAAGUGAUAUGUGAAAGCCCCCGGCUUAACCGAGGAACUGCAUAUAAAACUGGAGGGCUGGAGUGCAGGAGAGGUAAGCGGAAUUUCUAGUGUAGCGGUGGAAUGCGUAGAUAUUAGGAAGAACACCGGAGGCGAAGGCGGCUUACUGGACUGUAACUGACGCUGAGGCUCGAAAGCGUGGGGAGCAAACAGGAUUAGAUACCCUAGUAGUC
rnacentral:rRNA from 1 species